UACGGAGGGGGUUAGCGUUGUUCGGAAUUACUGGGCGUAAAGCGCACGUAGGCGGAUCAGAAAGUUGGGGGUGAAAUCCCGGGGCUCAACCCCGGAACUGCCUUCAAUACUGCCAGUCUUGAGUUCGGAAGAGGUGAGUGGAAUUCCUAGUGUAGAGGUGAAAUUCAUAGAUAUUAGGAAGAACACCAGUGGCGAAGGCGGCUCACUGGUCCGAUACUGACGCUGAGGUGCGAAAGCGUGGGGAGCGAACAGGAUUAGAUACCCGGGUAGUC
rnacentral:rRNA from 1 species